GCAGAGCACUCCUAGGGAGGCAGCAGUGGGGAAUAUUGCACAAUGGGCGCAAGCCUGAUGCAGCCAUGCCGCGUGUAUGAAGAAGGCCUUCGGGUUGUAAAGUACUUUCAGCAGUGAGGAAGGUGGGUAUGUUAAUAGCAUACUCAUUUGACGUUAGCUGCAGAAGAAGCACCGGCUAACUCCGUGCCAGCAGCCGCGGUAAUACGGAGGGUGCGAGCGUUAAUCGGAAUUACUGGGCGUAAAGCGCAUGCAGGUGGUUUGUUAAGUCAGAUGUGAAAGCCCCGGGGCUCAACCUCGGAAUUGCAUUUGAAACUGGCAAACUAGAGUACUGUAGAGGGGGUAGAAUUUCAGGUGUAGCGGUGAAAUGCGUAGAGAUCUGAAGGAAUACCGGUGGCGAAGGCGGCCCCCUGGACAGAUACUGACACUCAGAUGCGAAAGCGUGGGGAGCAAACAGGAUUAGAUACCCUGGUAG
rnacentral:rRNA from 1 species